AACCCAUGAUGAGAGCACCUUCUCAAAAGAUCUUUUAAUUUCUCCCAUGCAUCAUAUAAUGUCUCCACAUCAAAUUGAACAAAAUAAGAGAUAUCAUUUCUCAACUU
rfam:Gossypium arboreum cultivar AKA8401 contig_37014_3, whole genome shotgun sequence.